GAAAUGCGAUAAGUAGUGUGAAUUGCAGAAUUCAGUGAAUCAUCGAAUCUUUGAACGCACAUUGCGCCCUUUGGUAUUCCUUAGGGCAUGCCUGUUCGAGCGUCAUCUAAACCUUCAACCCCUGCUUGGUGUUGGGUGCCUGUCCCGCCUCCGCGCGCGGACUCACCUCAAAUCCAUUGGCGGCCCCCGCGUCGGCCACGAGCGCAGCAGAAACGCGAACUCGUGAGCCCGUCCGGGCGGCUCCCAGAAGCUACACCCACCCAGUUUGACCUCGGAUCAGGUAGGGAUACCCGCUGAACUUAAGC
rnacentral:misc_RNA from 1 species